rnacentral:rRNA from 1 species
CCUACGGGGUGCAGCAGUUGGGAAUCUUCCGCAAUGGGCGAAAGCCUGACGGAGCAACGCCGCGUGAUCGAAUGAAGGCCUUCGGGUUGUAAAGAUCUGUUGACAGGGACGAAUAAGCCAUGCGAAUAGUUUGGUGUAUGACGGUACCUGUUUAGAAAGCUCCGGCUAACUACGUGCCAGCAGCCGCGGUAAUACGUAGGGAGCAAGCGUUGUCCGGAAUUACUUGGCGUAAAGGGCGCGUAGGUGGGUGCUUAAGUCAGGUGUGAAAACUCUGGGCUCAACCUGGAGACUGCACUUGAAACUGGGUAUCUUGAGGGCAGGAGAGGAAAGUGGAAUUCCUAGUGUAGCGGUGAAAUGCGGAGAUAUUAGGAGGAACACCAGUGGCGAAGGCGACUUUCUGGACUGUACCUGACGCUGAGGCGCGAAAGCGUGGGUAGCGAACGGGAUUAGAUACCCUAGUAGUC